GCAUUAUACCGCGAAACUGCGAAUGGCUCAUUAUAUAAGUUAUCGUUUAUUUGAUAGUACCUUACUACUUGGAUAACCGUGGUAAUUCUAGAGCUAAUACAUGCUAAAAAUCCCGACUUCGGAAGGGAUGUAUUUAUUAGAUUAAAAACCAAUGCCCUCCGGGGCUCUCUGGUGAUUCAUGAUAACUUCUCGAAUCGCAUGGCCUUGCGCCGGCGAUGGUUCAUUCAAAUUUCUUCCCUAUCAACUUUCGAUGUUUGGGUAUUGGCCAAACAUGGUUGCAACGGGUAACGGAGGGUUAGGGCUCGACCCCGGAGAAGGAGCCUGAGAAACGGCUACUACAUCCAAGGAAGGCAGCAGGCGCGCAAAUUACCCAAUCCCGACACGGGGAGGUAGUGACAAUAAAUACUGAUACAGGGCUCAUUUGGGUCUUGUAAUUGGAAUGAGUACAAUUUAAAUCCCUUAACGAGGAACAAUUGGAGGGCAAGUCUGGUGCCAGCAGCCGCGGUAAUUCCAGCUCCAAUAGCGUAUAUUAAAGUUGUUGUGGUUAAAAAGCUCGUAGUUGAACCUUGGGCCUGGCUGGCCGGUCCGCCUCACCGCGUGUACUGGUCCGGCCGGGCCUUUCCCUCUGUGGAACCCCAUGCCCUUCACUGGGUGUGGCGGGGAAACAGGACUUUUACUUUGAAAAAAUUAGAGUGCUCCAGGCAGGCCUAUGCUCGAAUACAUUAGCAUGGAAUAAUAAAAUAGGACGUGUGGUUCUAUUUUGUUGGUUUCUAGGACCGCCGUAAUGAUUAAUAGGGACAGUCGGGGGCAUCAGUAUUCAAUUGUCAGAGGUGAAAUUCUUGGAUUUAUUGAAGACUAACUACUGCGAAAGCAUUUGCCAAGGAUGUUUUCAUUAAUCAGGAACGAAAGUUAGGGGAUCGAAGACGAUCAGAUACCGUCGUAGUCUUAACCAUAAACUAUGCCGACUAGGGAUCGGACGAUGUUAUAAUUUGACUCGUUCGGCACCUUACGAGAAAUCAAAGUGCUUGGG
rnacentral:rRNA from 1 species